GCGGGCGUUGGGGGGCGGUCCGACGCGGCCGGGGAAAAACAACCUCGAGCGGCGGAGCUCUCCGCCAGGAGCUAAUUCUCGCGUCCAGAACUGGCUCGGUGGGCUUGCUUUAAGGCUGGGGUGGGGCGCGAGCCCUCGGGCGUCAGGGAAAGGCGAACGCGCCCCUGCCCCCAGCUUCAGCAGCGGAGAGACCGCCCUCCUUCCCACCCACUCGGAUUCAUUUACCUUGAGCCGAAGAGCAGCCCACCUCUAAGCGGACCCUGCACCACCAGGAAUAAAUAACCAAGUUCGCUUUACAUUUUAUAAACUGUUGAAAUCCCCUGCAGCCUUUCCAGUAAUGCGCAAACAACGCUGAAUGGGCCCGGAAUGCUGCAACAAGUAUGGGACCAUGGCCUAUAUUCAAUAUAAAAUUAUUUUUGGAAGCACAAUGAAUCCCAUGCAGAAUAACAGAAAGGAAAUUCAUAUCUUGACAUAUAGUAAAACUGAAAAAUUCCAAGAAAAAGGGAAGACCUUAAAAGUUAUCCAAGAGAAAAGUCAGAUUAUCUACAAAGGGAUACUAAAUGGACUAUUUUUUAACAAUGGAAGUCAGAGGACAAUGGAAUAGUAUCUUCAAAGCACCGAGAGAGAAAAUGGCCACUCUUCAAUUGUAUUAAUAUAUGAAACUGUCUAUUGAGAAAGCUAAUGCAAGAAACACAUUUUAAGAGAUAAAAAAAGUUAUACCUUUGGAUUAUAUAAAUUUUAUUACAUCUGAAAAUCAAACUGAUAAAGUGUUUCUCUCCAGGAAAUGGGAUUAUGGUGGGUGGUAUUUACUUUCUUACAUAUCUAUUGUAUUCAUCUUCUUGUAUAAUGAUAAAAAAUUCCACGUGCAGAUAACUUUUUGGGAUGAGGGGAGAAUGGGAGGGAGAAGCAUAGCUCUAAUAGCAGGGCUAAUUUGUACUUUUCUGUUCUAGGGACCAGAUCUGACCCUGAAGUCUGCUGGUACACUGUACACAUGCAUGUUAAAUUAAGUACUCUGACGAUGUUCUACUACAUAAACACUAUACAGCAAAAAGUAAAAUGGUCUUUCUUCCAGAGACUCGAGCAGGCAAAUACUGGAGUAAAACAGGGUUAAACAGCAUAGUUUUACUUACAGUAUCCUUGGGUCAUAAAAAGGCAUUUCUUAAAAGCAGUAUUAAUUGAUGCCACAUGGAAAACUGGGCAGCACAUACCACAGAAACAGAGAAUCCACUACCUAAAAAUGAUUUUCUCAGUCCUAGGACCUCACACAGGAAAAGGAACAGUCCAUGGGAGCAGUGUGUUGGACAAUGGGAUCCUUUUAAAAAGUCCCCUAAACCAUGGCUAUUUGUAUCAAAAAAUAACCCCCCAACCAUUCCAAAAGAUCUGCAGUUGAAGAAAUGAAAAAUGAUGCUGGAAUUGCACAAUGGUGCAUAUUGGUGACAUUAGAGAAGGUAUCUUUGGGGCCGCCUGUAUGGCUCAGUUGACAGAGAGUCUGACUUCAGCUCAGGUCAUGUUCUCACAGUUCGUGAUUUUGGGCUGCACAGCAGGCUCACAGUUGUCCACAAGGAGCCGACCUCGGAUCCUCUGUCACCCUUUCUCUCUGCCCCUUCCCUGCUCGUACUCUCUCUAAAAAAUAAACAAACAUUUAAAAAAGAAAAGACAUCUUUGAGCGGAGUUUGAAGAUUACUUUGAAAAAUGUACAUUAACUAUCUCAUGUAGAUUUAGAUUCUAAAUCGUUCACUUAAUAGUCUAAAAUUCUUACCAUUUCAUGCCUACUCCGAAACAGAGAUUUAGUGUAUAAAAAUUAUGAUUUCAGGAUACUUUUCUGUCUUCUCUGCUUAAGAAAAUUGUUUACUACAGAACAUCUGCAAUAAUAUAAGCAGUAAAUGGGGGAACUAAAGUAGCAAGAAAGGUCCUAAAUGCUACAAGGAAUUUCAGAGAGCUACUAUUUCUAAGGAUAAUAGAGCUGUGUGUCCUAGAAAGACUUUUUCCUAGCCACUGAUGACUAAAAGUAAGAUUCUUAGAUACAGUCAAAGAGUGACAGAUAACACAAGUUCUUAGACAUUAACUACCCUCAGAAUGUUGGACUCCCCUCCCCCCAUGCCAUCCUUCCCAUCCCACCCCAGCACGGGUGGCAGGUAAACAUUAAUAAAAUGGCCUUUUAACUUGGCUGUAGCUCUUCCUGAUAAUUGGGACUUAGACUCACAUGUCUGCUUCCUCUGAUUCUCCAUUCUUUGGUCUUGUAUUAGCAUGAACAAGAUCCCUAGCUCUGGAACUCUCAGAAUCUAAGCAUUAGUACUUGACAAGAAGUCAUUGCUAGGGUCCCUGUGAUUGGAGAAUCGGGUCUAAUGAGAGGUAUGAAAAUCAAGAAGAAGAAGAAUGGUUCUGGAGAAGCAAGGAUAUCAGAAAACUACUUAGGACUAUGAAAUGUCCAUGGAGGCAUGAACAGUGCUCUAUGUCCAGAGCAUUUAUAUAAAGAUACAGACUGCUAAUAAUGUGUUCUUAUGCAUGCAGAGUAUAAUGGGAAAAAAGACAGUGGGAGAAUUCUUUAGUGUUUCUAUAGAUGAGGCAACUGAACUUUUUUCAUGUCUCAAAAUAUUCUUUUCUUAGUUUCCUAAAAUGAUUUCAUCCAUGAGUUUGAGGAUAGGGUAGGUAAGAAUAAGUGAAUGAGAUAAAAAAUAAAAAUAACCCACGUGGAUUAGAAAGCAAUAAGUCACACAGGAAAAAUGUAUGUCUGAAGUUCUCAAGAUCCUCAAGUCUUGGAAAGAACCAUAAAAUCUCAUGUUAUAUGCUGAAUAUGACUCUACAUAUGGCCUGUGGAAUAAAAAGUAAAACGUAUAUAGAAUUUUACAGUCCACAAAUUUCACAUAGAGUGACUUGGCAAUUUCUCACAACAACUUUGUGAGAUGGAUCUCACUCCUGUGUUACCCAAGAAGAAACUUGUCAUGAAACUGAAAAGUGGCAGAGCUAUGGGUCAAAAGUAAGUCUGUGUGCCUUCGGAUCCAGUGCCCUUUCCUUUCCAUCUCUCAACAGUUACAAAUGCAACUACAGAACUUUAGUGCAUUGUCCAGAGUGAGGACAUAUUGCUCUGGACUCCGGAGACACUGCUGGAACUUUGGGACAGCUUGGGGCUGAGAGCAGCAGAAGGAAAAGGUUUCCUGUUCACAGUCCUGACAGCUGAGGAAGGGGCUGUCAUGAGCUUUCUACCAGACAUUUAAAAAAUAGAUUGUUUCCAUGGAGGAGGCCCGAGGAAGAUUUACAGACAGGGGAGAUAGGUAUACAGUUCUGGGACCUUCCAGUUGAAGUAUAACCAGUGUCUGACCAUGGAAGGCAGAUGCUCCCUUAUGUAUGAUUUUAACACUUGCCUUAUUGAUUCUUUUCCCAUGACAAUGAUGUAAUUGAAAAUGUAUUAAAAACUGAAGAGAUGUAGUUUAAAUAUUUAAUUUUUACCAAAGCCACUAAUGAUUUUAAUUUACUGUUUUUUAAACUUCUUUAAUUUUCAAAUUCAGAAAAUAUAUACAUGUGUUGUUAAAGUUUUACAUUCAUUUAGCAUACUUUCAAAUUUACAUUCAUUGGUUAUAAAAUGAGAACAAAACAUGUAGUAAUCAUGCUGUUUUAAAAACUGUCAGAAGUUCUCAGGGGAGUGUUCAAAUUGUGAGGAGAACUCUAGAAUUUAUUCUAUUUGCUCAAACUAUCUUACACUAUCAUUUGAGUGCAAUUCUGUAAUCUUUUUGCAUGAAGAUGCUAUUGAUUUCAGCAUAGUGUACUUCCUCAUUUAACAUUCCAUAUAUAAUUGAGUAAUGUUAUUAAAAAUAAAAUAAAAUGAAAUGUAGUUUCAGAGCCAGCACUCAGGGACUUACAAUCGAGUUGAUAAUAAAAGACUGAGAAACAGAAGACAAUACUGGGCAACAUAUAAUUAUGCAUUAAAUGACAUGCCACAAACUGCAAAUAUUCAGGAGUAGAAACUAUCAGUAAAGUCUUAAAAGGCAGCUAGAGGGGAAUGGAACUGAGGAGAAAACAAGCUGCAGGAACUCAAGAGACUAUAAGGAGACUAUUUUGGCUCUGGCAGGAGGAUAAGUUAGUAAGCGGUGGGAAGUAAGUUAGAGUCGGUUGUAGGGAGCCUAGAAAACCAGUGAAGGAGGAGACUGGACAAAGUAGGAGGCAAUAAUGGAACCCUAAAAGAUUUCUGAGUAGUGGCAAAAGUGGUGAAAGCACGGACUUUCACAAGUGUGCGAGAUGAACACAGCAAAGGAAACUGUACAUCUAAGGAAGAGGUAGUGAGGCUAACCGCUCCCCUUCCUCUUCAGCCUCACAAGUUUACCUAACUUGACAGUCACCCAAAGGGAUCAUUCUUGGACUUCUGUACAUGCUCUUCCCUCUGACCCCGGCCCAUGUCUCACCUUCAGUCUGAAGUUAGAAGUCAUUGCUUUAGAGAAGCCUUCCUCAACCCCUCUCUGCAGGUUAGAUGUUCCCCUUAUGCACUUCCUCUGUCACAGCACUUAUCUCUGCACUGUCAGAGCUAAUGGGCUAGCCAGUCUCCUUUAUUACACCAAAAAUUCUAGGGGUAAGAAAUGGCCCAUCUUUUCCAGCACUGCAUCCCUUUGGGUGAAUUAUAAGAAUUAAGGAGGGGUAUAAGAUCAGUAAACAUUUCCCUAAAAUUAUAUCAACAGGUGAGAAGACGAUACAUAUGUAGGCAUGCUAAAAUAGAAAAGAAUGUUAUUUGGAAGAUGGCCUCAAUCUCAGUGAAGAGAUAUUGCAAACCUUUUCUUCUAUCUACCCAAGCCCCUUAAUGAAGGGGAGAGUUGGAUUAGGGUCAUGGCAAAGGUAGGAAGAACAUAAACUUUUUAUAACCACUGUUUGAGGAUAACAGCCCUAUAAUUUUUUAAAAAACCACAUUUUGGCCUUAACAGGAUCAAAUAAUUUAAUAAUUUCCAUUUAGCAACUAUCUACAGAGAGCACAGUGCUUUGCAAGAACCCACACAAAAUAGUUCAAAGUAUUCAAAGAUUAAAGAAACACAAUUCCAGUCCUAAGGAGCCUUAUAAUCCAAUAAAUACAUACAGUGGAGUUAUGUUACAGGUAUAGUAGGGCUUUGAAUUAAGAAAGGAAGAAGUCAAGGAAUCAUUAAAAUGUUUCAAGCAGGAAAACGAGGUUACUGAGAUUUGAUUUUAGAAGAUUAGGAGAAUUUGCCCAGAUGGUUUGAGUUGUGAGCGGAAGCUAAAGGCAGGUAGGCUAAAUUUAAGAUAAUGCAAUGAUCUAGUCAGGAGGCAACUGGGGUAUAAACCAGAGAGACGACGGUAGAAAUGGAAUGCAGUAGACACAUUCAGUAGAUCUAAGACAGCAGACUCUCAAGAAGCCUAUUGCUUCCUUCUACUUUAUACCUAAACAAAUACAAGGCAAGGUGGUGUUGUCAAAGAUGGUUUUGAUGGAGAUGCUUAUAGACAGAUUAGUUUACUCGUAACUGUGCACUUGUGGAUGGAUGCCUCUAUUUGUUUUCAUUCCAAAAUGUCCUUCUGCAAUUAUCUCUAGAGCUUAAAGCAGCACACAAUUAAAUGAAAAGAAUCUGAACUUAAAAUGAAAAAUCUAGAUUCCAACCCCUGCACAUUAUUUUAUCUUCUCAUGUCUUAGAAUUUUCAUCUGUAAAAUGAGUUACUUACUUGAUGGGUUUGCUAUAAGAACAAGAUAUGAUAAAAUGAAAACUGCUAGAAAUAAAUAAUUUACAAUAUUGACUGCCAAUAUUUUGACACCUUCAUACUAUCAGGUUGCCAUCUGGACAGGAGAAACAUUCAUAAUACAUAAACAAGCAUUUAGUAAGCAUGGUCUUCUCACAAUUGAUUCCAGCUGUGUUUCUAUGCAGAUACAAAAUGAUACUCAGACUAUACUAUUAAACAUUUAUAAAGCAAAAGUAAAGUAUAAUGACUAAAAACCCUUGUCAUUAGAGUCCAACAACCCUGGGGUCCAAGGAUAAAUUAAAUCUCUCUUACCCUUGAUGUCCUGACCUGUACAAUGGGAAUGAUAGUAUAGCAACUUUAGAGGGCCACAGGAUUACAUGAAAUCAAGCACAGUGGCUAUAAGUGGUCAGUAAAUAGUAAAUGAUCAGUAAAUAUUAGCAGUGGGAACUACAUAGUAAGAGUUACAAUACAUUGAACCAGCAGUCUUGUCAUACUCAGAAUAUAAAGUAAACAACUAUUCAGCACAGCAUUUGUGAAAUACGCAAUUUUUUUUUCUUUUGGUGUUUUGGGCUUGAACAAUGUGUAUUUAGGAUAAAAAUUAUUAGGUAUUGAUGUAAUUUUAAUUUUUUAUUUAUUUUUAUUUUUUAAUGUUUAUUUUUGAGAGAGAGAGCACACGCACACAUGCAUGUGUAUGAGCA